CGGGGCGUGGCGCAGCCUGGAUUAGCGCGCGUGCUUGGGGUGCACGAGGUCGCAGGUUCAAAUCCUGUCGCCCCGA
rnacentral:tRNA from 1 species